rnacentral:rRNA from 1 species
UAGCUGGUCUGAGAGGACGACCAGCCACACUGGAACUGAGACACGGUCCAGACACCUACGGGUGGCAGCAGUCGAGAAUCAUUCACAAUGGAGGCAACUCUGAUGGUGCAACGCCGCGUGGAGGAUGACGGUCCUAGGAUUGUAAACUCCUGUCAUUGGGGAGUAAGACUUAAGCGUUAAGAGCGUUUAAGUUUGAUAGUACCCAAAGAGGAAGGGACGGCUAACUUCGUGCCAGCAGCCGCGGUAAUACGAAGGUCCCAAGCGUUGUUCGGAAUCACUGGGCGUAAAGCGUGUGUAGGCUGCGCGGAAAGUCAAAUGUGAAAGCCCGGGGCUCAACCUCGGAACUGCAUUCGAUACUCCCGUGCUAGAGUAAUGGAGAGGUAAGUGGAAUUCCUGGUGUAGCAGUGAAAUGCGUGGAUAUCAGGAGGAACAUCAAUGGCGAAGGCAACUUACUGGACAUUUACUGACGCUCAGACACGAAGGCUAGGGUAGCGAAAGGGAUUAGAUACCCCUGUAGUCCUAGCAGUAAACGGUGCUCGCUUGGUGUGGGAGGAUUCGACCCCUUCUGUGCCGGAGCUAACGCGUUAAGCGAGCCGCCUGGGAAGUACGGUCGCAAGACUAAAACUCAAAGAAAUUGACGGGGACCCGCACAAGCGGUGGAGUAUGUGGCUUAAUUCGAUGCAACGCGAAGAACCUUACCUAGGCUUGACAUGCUUGUCGUACUCUCCCGAAAAGGAGAGGUCACUUCGGGUGGACAAUGCACAGGUGCUGCAUGGCCGUCGUCAGCUCGUGUCGUGAGAUGUUUGGUUAA